CCGGCACCGGCAGGCCUGAAGGGGUGAGGUCAGUGGGCAUUCAGACCUCCCUUCCCUGUACCCCCAUCUCUGCUGCGGCUUUGAUGCAGCCGGUGCAAAGGAAGUUUCUAGAAUCUGAGAUCUGGAACUCAGCUACUCACUGGGACUCCAGGUGGAGGACUUGGCCUCUCCCAGUUCACAGCCAGACAACAGACUCAGCACGUCGCACUCUACUUGGGUGAGUCCAUG